CGCCCCCCUCCGCGUGCACUUCACCGGACCGGUCCCGGGGGCGCAGACCCACCUCCUCCUCCAGGGUACCGCCAGAGCCCGUGCCCGCGCCGGUGCCGGUGCCCGCGCCGGUGCUGUGCUCGCCGUCCGGCUUCAGAGCCCGAGGCUUGGGCACGGCUGCGGUGACUUCCCCCUCCGCGGGUCUCAAGGGCGCGGCCCUCGGUUGGGUUUUCCUUCAGACUUUUGGAAACCCGCGCCGACCACUGCCGGCCCCUGACGCCAGCUUGUGAAAACCCGAGCCCACAUCAGGCCGCGCUUGAAGCGCAGCAGGCUGGAGCCCCUCGGAGCUGCUUCAGGACUGGGCUCCUCCCCACCACCGCCCCUGUCCCCACCUCGAGCUCUGGGGCAUCCCGGCCAGAGGCUCGGUCGAGACUGGAAAAGGCUCUGCCAGGAGAGGAGGGAAGUCCUGCGGGACCCCGCCCAGAAUCAGGCGUCUCCAGGAGUGAUCUGUCACCUUGCGCCUGGUGCCUGUUCAGACUUUCCCUGCCAAACCUCGUAGUGGCACCAGUAUUUUAAGGCUGGAAGCGACACACCGCGUCGGUGGAGUGGGAAAAGCUACUUUUGCAGUCAUGAACCAGUUAGGAUCCCAGACCUGGGACAAGUGACUCAGCCCUUCAGAGCCUCUAUGUGCCUACUUCUAAAUAGAGCCGGCAGUAUCCUGUGGGAGGACGGAGUAUGGAAGGAGCCAAAGGUCAUCGAGAAUUGCUCUCUGGUCUGUUUCCCUGCCUGAGUUGUUGGCCUCCUAGAGCCUGGGAAAUGAGACGGCCCUUCAGACCAGAGAGACUGCACAAUUGCCAGGCAUGCGCGCUGAAAACCCAGACUCCAUCAGGUGUCAAUCCCUGCCCUCCAAUUCCUAUAAGAUACCAAAGCCAACUAUGAAAGACGCUUUUUCGGAGGAGAAGAUGAAGAUGAAUCUGUCUUCCCAGAAGAAAAACCCUCUACUUUGCUUUAUGAGACAGAUAGGAAUCCCAAACCACAGACAGAGCACAGGCCCCAGAGCACUCAGUCUUCAGUAGUCGUGGGGCACCGACAUAGUUGCCCUGCAGCAUGUGGAAUCUUCCUGGACCAGGAAUUGAACCUGUGUCCCCUGCAUUGGAAGGCAGAUUCUUAACUAUUGGACCACCAGGGAAGUUCUCUAAGACCUUCUUUCUGCAAAUGGAGGUAAGACCCAGAACCAACAGGUUAUUGAUGUAUAUACACACACACAUAUAUAUAUGUGUGUGUGUGUGUUGUAUUAACAUUCAGAUUUUUAACUUUUUUGUUGUUUAGUCACUAAGUUGUGUCUAUCUGUUGUGACCCCAUAGAUUGUAGCCCACCAGGCUCCUCUAUCCAUGGGAUUUCCCAGGCAAAAUACUGGAGUGGGUUGCCAUUUCCUCUUCUAGGGGAUCUUCUGGACCCAGGGAUCAAGUGAUGUUUAGUGUUUUCUCACUUCUGAGCCAAAAUCUCUUCUGGUGCUGGCUCGCCCUCCUCAACGGCCCAUUAGUUGUGCAGUGUCUGGUUCGUGGGAAGCAGCACUACUUGCAGCUCCGAGGAUGCUCCUGCAAGGUGUGAGCUCCAAGGAUGAUUCUCCCUCAUCCUCCUGAGCGGUGCUUCCUGUGCUUCCUGCUGGUUUCCUCACCUGCAGGCCCUGAGCAGAACCACUGCUGGAGCACCCUUAUAGAGCUUAGAGUUCUCUGUGUGCAGCUCUUGCCUUUUCAGUUCUCUGCCGUGGGUUCUGUCCUCCCAGCUUUGCAGGCUUCUCAGUGCCAGUGCGGGGAGGCUGUCAGAAUUCACCUGUCUUCCCCUCGUUGUGCUCUAGCCUGGAAACUUUCUUCAGGCAGUGAGGUGGAACUUAGAGGGCUCACCUCAUUUGUUUACUUCCAGAAGUCACUAUUUUUCCCUCUCUGCUUCCAAUGUCUUGAGAACCACCAUUUCAUAUAUUCUGUGGGGUAUUUUGGUUGUCUAAUCUGCUUGCAAUGCAGGAGACCUGGGUUUGAUCCCUGAGCUGGGAUGGUCCCAUGGAGAAGGGAAUGGCAACCCACUCCAGUAUCCUUGCCUGGAGAAUUCCAUGGACUGUAUAGUCCAUGCGGUCACAAAAAGCUGGACACGACUGAGCGAGUAACACUUUCACUUUAGUUGUCUUAGGUGAGGAUGUAAAGCCCAUCCCUGUUACUCCAUCUCAGCUGGAUGCAGAAAUCCUUAUAAUCAGAUUUCCCUGAUGGUCCAGGAGCUAAGACUCCAAGGUUGAUCCCUGGUUGGGGAACUAGAUCCCACAUGCUGCAACUAAAGAUCCUGCAUGCCUGCAGUGAAGAUCAACAACCCCUCAUUCCACUGCUGAGACCCGGCACAGCCAACAAGAAAUAAAUAAAUAGAAUCUUGCGCCUCCCUGGUGGCUCAGUGUUGAAAAACCCACCUGCCAAAGCAGGAGACUCGGGUUCGAUCCCUGGUCCGGGAAGAUCCCAUGUGUCGUGGAGCAACAAAGCCCAUGUGCCACAACUGUUGACCCUGGGAGCCACAACUACUGAGCCAACGGGCUGAAGCUACUGCAGCCUACGUGCCCUAGAGCCUGUGUUCUGCAGGGACAGAAGUCACUGCAGGGAGAAGCCCGCACACCACAACAAAGAGUAGCCCCUGCCUGCUACAACCAGAGAAAAGCCCACACGGCAAGGACGACACACCACAGCCAAAAAUAAACAUAGAAAAUUAUUUUUUUUAAUUCCUUAUGGUCAUUUGUUGAUUUGUUCAGCUGGCAUUUACUGAGGGCAAGCUGAUGUGUGCCCACCUCCCACUGGUCUUACUGAUCUCCAGACACUCCAAAUUUUCCUACCUCAGGGCCUUUGCAUGGCCCCUGUCCUCUGACCAGAAGGCUCGUUUUAGCUAUACUUCUUCCCUCAGCUCAGAGGCCUUCUAGGACUAAUCUGUGUAAAGUGAGCUGCUCUCUUUUUUUUUGCAUCACACAUAUGCUUUCCUUUAUAGUUUCUCUUACUAUAAUAUAGGCAGGAAUUUUUGUCUGAUUCCUCACAGCCAGCUCAGGGCCAGGCACACUGUCAGUGUUCGAUAAAUAUUUAUUGAAUGAGUACAGUCUUUGUGUAUUUCACGGUGCCUGUCACAUAACAGUUCAGUCAACUGGAGGUGCUUGACUGACGGGAACACAGCUCCAUGACUGAGGAUGCCCAACAGGGGAGGGAUCCCAGGCCCCUGGACCAAAGCCACUCUCAGCUCACUCUCAGCUGCGCUCUCCUUAGUGAUAACUGGAGGCCCCGCGUGCUGGCCAGGAGGGCUGACAGGUGGGGCUGAUGAGUUGCAGACCCAGGCCUCCACCAGGCACAGAACCAGAUGCUGGACAGGAGCCAGAGCCAAACUUCCCUGAUGCCGCUGUCUUCCAGGGCCCUGUCUCUCAUCCACCCCCUCAGAGAGUCUGCCACCAGCCUCUGGGGAAAGAUGGAGCCAUCCCUCUGGUUCUAGCCCCAGAUCUAGUUGUGUGACCAUUGACAACUAUUAGAGUGCUCACAGGAGGAGUGUGUGCUCGCUAAGUCACUUCAGUCAUGUCCAACUCUUUGUGACCCCAUGGACUGUAGCCAACCAGGCUCCUCUGUCUGUGGGAUUUUUCCAGGCAAGAAUACUGGAGUGGGUAGCCAUUUCCUGCUCCAGGGCAUCUUCCCGACCCAGGGACCCGCGGCUCUUACAUCUCCUGCAUUGGCAGGAGUGUUCUUGACCACUAGCACCACCUAGGAAGCACCUUCAUAGGAGGAGAGGAUGGCUCAAUAAAGUGAAUGGUACUUUAUAAACUGCAGACCUUCUACGAGCACUCACAGCACCUUACGAGGUUUCUGUUCCAAACACCUACUUUUGACAGAGGAAGGGACUGAGGUUUAAAUGAGAUAAGGUAAGGAGACUGCUUAGCACAAGGCUGGGGACUUCGUGUUUCUAUUCUAGAUGCUAACCAGCUGCCUACCUCUGGCUAAGCAACCAACAGCCUGCAACCUCUCAGGUGGGGGCCUUGAUCCAUCUGUCCUCAAUAAAGAUGAGAGCUACCAUUUUUUGAGCGUUUACGAGGUGCCAGGCCAUGAGCUCAGCGCUUUGCAUGCAUCAUCUAAUUCUCUCAUCAGAGGAUGAGAUGUUAUUAUUCCAAUGAGGAAACUGAAGCUCAAAGACAUUAGGUAAUCUACCCAAACCCUUGCAACUAGUAAGUGGCUUAAGCUGUGUUCAGACCCCCGGGUGAGAGGUCCCUAAGCUUCUAGGUACUGGCCUCUCUUCCCUUAGCAAUCUCUUCUAAUAACUGGUAUUUCUUGCCAGCUACUCCUUCCUGGGCCUUGGGGAAAGGUUUCUGAGAGUCCUUUUGGCCAGUCACCAGAUCAGGGCGAGACAGGGUCUAAAACCUCCAGCUGAGCUUCUGCCCCAAGGCCCAACUAUGAGCUUGUGGAGUUGGCAGUCAGGACAUCUCUGAGGGUCAAAGAAAAUCCCACGUUAAAAACACAGCCCUGGGGAAGGAGGCGGG